CAUGUCUGAGAGCACCUCAUUUUUCAUUUUCAAAGAUGAUGAGCAUUGAAGAACCCCCAUAUGGAGUCGCUUCAAUCACAGCAAAGAAAAUUGCCUGAGUUCAUCUGCAGGCAGAAUGCUGCCCAAGAAGGACAGACACAAGGAACUCAACUGCCAAGCUCUUCUAAGACAGGAUAAACAGAUAUUAUUAUAGAAAUGCAUCACCUUCCCAACAAACUCAGAGGCUUCCCUCCUGUAUUUUGUGCUCUUGGUCCCGUCUGCUAACAGAAGACGCAAGAGGAGUGCUCGAGAAAGAUACAUUACUGCUGAGCUCCCCCAUGGAUAGUGCCUUAUAGUUGGAUUGCUACAGAAAACUGCUUUCCAGAAAGGAAAUAGUUAAGUGGAGAGGACACUUAGCAAGGGAAUCUCCAGAAGACUACCAAAGACUACUGCAGAUUCUAACCAUUUGUCCUUCUUGGAAAUAAAGAUGCCAGACUAGAGUGGGAGGAGUUCUUAUUUGCUAUUUCCUUCUUUUUUCU